UCCCUUAGUCGAGAAAUCACUUUUCUCCCCAAAAAUUCCCCCCAAAUUUUCCCCAAAAAUCCCCCAAAUCUAGUACCCUAGUCUGCUGUGCCCCAACCAUCAUUGCUACAUUGCCGUUUACUGACCCUUCUGUUGUUGCUCGUCGACCGUCGACCGUGAAGUCGUGUACCACCGCACUCGUCUGCCGUCGCUUGGGUAAAAUGAUCGGUAAGGUUUUCCUCUUUCUCUUCUGCUCGCGAAUAGUUUUGCACCUGGUUUAGGGUUUAGGUUACAACCUCUCAUACAUUAUUUUACACCUAAUAAUGUAAAGUACAUGCGCAAAUUGUUGAUGGGUUUCAGACAAAUUUACAGUAUCCUGUUUGGGAUAGAAAAGACCGGGAAUUUGUUCUUAGAAUUUUAUCUAUAGCCUUUGCAUAAUUUAGUUCACGAUUUGUUUAUUUCCUGUUUGUAGUUCCAAAUAGUUUGGAACUGUUCAUAAUUUUUUUCAUCAUUUUCACUCUCCUGUUUGUAUUAUACGAAAUGAUAAUAUUUGGUCCCAUAAUUGCUCUUACUGAAACCAAAAGUACUAUAUCUCAUGUCAUACGCAUGAAAAAAAUAAUUAUUUGUAAACAAAAAUCAAAGCAAACUAAGCAGUAUAUUCCGUCUUGUUGUACAUUGUUAUCCUGCUGAUCAUGAAAAAAUUUGUUCAUACAAUUAAUAUAGUUGCAAGAAGGGACAUACCAUAUAAGGAUCCGUUGUUGUCUGGAAGAAUGGCAAUGAGUAAUUCAAGUUAUUUUCCUUCAAGCUUGUUUGCAGCAGCAUGGUAUACGUAUUUCAGUGCCUUGUUAACUUGAUCUGGUCUAGCAGAAUAGAUAGGAAUUACGGGGUCUCGAUCGAAUUCCUGCAUUUAAAAGACCAAAUUGAUCAAAGGUUCAGGCACCAAACGGCAUCCAUUGGAAGCUGUUAUAUAGAUAAAUUAGUUGGUUAGUGAAAACAAAGGUUAGGAAAAUUCACCAUGCCAGAAAUUUGGCACAUUUGAACCAACUGUUGACAAAAACCUUAUGCAGUGCUCUGUUGAACACUUCGUUGGAAUAUACCUUAUCAAAUAAUUGCUGUAUUUGGUCCCAUAGGCUGUCAAGUAAUGCAUUUCUAAUAACAUUUCCCGUUGCAUAAUAAUUCUCACUCUAUAGCUUAUCAAAUAAUUAUUACUCUAUAGCUUAUAAAAUAAUAUAAAUCUAAUAACAUUUCUCGUUGCAAAUUUUUGUUCAUAAUUUCUUUAUAUCCUGUUUGUAGUUUACAGUAGUUUGUAACCGUUCAUAAUUGCUGUUUGCGUUGUUGUGCUUAGCUUGCUGGGUUGGAAGGAUAACGCUAUUCUUUGGCGUGAAAGGUCAAUUUUUUUGCCGCUAGCUUGCUGCGUAUUUCGCUGCAGAACUUGUCUACUUUUUUGCGUGGAAGGUAAAUAUUUAUUCUUCUGUUGUAAUGUAUCAGCCUUAGUUUGAUUGAAAGAACAAAAUUUCAAACAGAGUAAUGGAGUUGAGUUUGAAUAUCUUAAUAACCAAUAAAAAAAAGAUAGAGAUAUUACCUCUUCUUUUAGCCAUGCAACAUCAUAAGAAGAGCAUAAUAAUCAUAAUGGUUACUAUACCCACAAUUACUGAUGUAAUAACAAUAACUUUAGUGCUUUUCCCUUUAUCUGCAAAUCGAAAAACUUGUUGGUUAAUAAAACUUCCACACCAAAAAAGCAGAUUAAUUGAGGCAAUUCAACACAUGGUCGACAUGGAAGACAAGUUUGAUUCUAAUUUGAUUAUAAUGUAGUAUCAAUGUAGGAAUCAUUAGAUGAUGGGGAAUCAUUAGACAAGUAGGUAGACUAUUGCUGUUAGUUUAAUGGAUUUAAUGGAUUGUUUUUUUGUCAUGUUAUUUUGGGAACAUAUAUAUAUGUUCAAUUUUAAACCUCUAAUAUCAUCUAAUUCACUGUCAUGUUUCAACAUAUAUUCAUAUAUAUUUUUUCGGUUUUUUAAGUUUUUUUGGCUUUAAUUACUUCUGUUUUUUCGGUAUGUACUAAUGUAUUUCUGUCUUUUUUUUCCAGGAUUUGCUUCGGAAUUGAGUGGAUUUAAGGUAUUUAUUCCUAUUUUUCUCUAUUUAGGUUUCUUAUAAAAAAAAGUCAAAUUGUUAAAUUUUUAUAUGUCAUUAUAUUUUAGUUGUAUAGUUUAAUUAUUAUUUUUCAUUUUCAGAUGGGAGUUUUAAUUACCAUUUUAGCUAAAUUUGCAUUUUACUUUGCAUCUUAUUACAUUUUUUGAUGUCUAAAUUUUCUGCUCAAGAUAUUCGGCAAAGAUCACUUUGUUUUAAACUAUUAAAAUUCAGAAUACAACUCUUAAACAAAUUUAUAUAUUUCAGUAAUUGAAUAAAUUAUGGGCGAAUCAUUUUAUCGGUUUAGCGUUUAUAAAUCAUCGAUUUCCGAUAUUAUGUGUUGCAAUUAUAAAUUUUACUUCAAAUUAAUGAAUAAUUAUCGAUCUUAACUUACAUAAUGGGAAUUCGGUAACGAUUAAGAAUCUUUUACAUACAAAAAAAUUUGAAUAUUUAUUUAUAUUUUUUAUUAAAAUAAAAAUAUACUUUUUCGAAAUAUAUUUAUUUUGUAAUGGCAAUUCAAAGUAUUAUUUCUUUAAUAACAAAAAUUGUUUUCAUAAAUAUAAACAAAUUAAUUAUUUCUUGUAAUUCGAAGUCAAUGUUCUUGUAUGAUUGAACUAACAUCAUUUGUUGUUUGAAUUAAUAAAAGCUACAAAAUAUACAUCAUGUCGUAACGAUCUUUGAAUUAUCCGGAGAUUAACACUACAAUAUUAUAUUUUAAAUGAAAUGUAUUCAAAGUUAUAUUGAUAUAUUUAUAUACAGUUUUAAUAUAUUAAUUAAAAUUAUAUUGAUAUAUUUGAAAAAUUUAAAGCGUUUAUAAAUCAUAAUUUACAUACAUAACACAUAGCCUACAUGACUUAUAUAGUACACAACUUAAAUAAUUUAAAUAACUUACAUUCAUAACUUACUCAAACUUAUAUUGAAUUACCUUACAUAAUACAUAACUUAUAUAAAAUUUUUAUAUAAACUUACAUAAUACAUUGCUUACAUAUUAACUUACAUAAGUUAUCUACAAGCUUAUAUUUAAACUUUCAUAACUUACAUAAUAACAUAUGGACUUACAUUAUACAUAGCUUAAAUAACUUACAUAAUACAAAACUUACAUAACUUAAAUAUCUUACACAACUUACACAACUUAAAUAAUUUAAAUAACUUACAUAAUACAUAAUAACUUACAACAACUUAACAUACAUUAAUUUGAUAACUUACAUAAGUUACAUAACUUACAUAAUACAUAAAAAUAUAUCAUAUCACAAAUAUCUGAAAUUCAUCUAUGCUUAUAACUGGCGUUUUAACUUACCCGUGCUAAUUAUUGUGAACGUCAGAAUUCAAGAAUUAAGAAAUGGACCGGUCUUGGAUGAAUUUGUCAAGGGUUAGCAAUAGUUAUCGAAAUGGAGUACAGUAUUUUUUAAAUUUUGCAUUUCAACAUGCAAGCCAAGAGAACAUGAUUCUAUGCCCGUGUAAGAAGUGUGUCAACAUAAACUGGCAUUAUCGUGAGGUUGUAUAUGAGCAUCUAAUUAUUGAUGGGUUUGUUCGGGGUUAUAAACAAUAGUUAUUUCAUGGAGAAUGCCUGCGUAGUACUUCCUCUUCAAUGAUGGAUGUAUCUUACUCUGGUACUGCUUACCAUCAGUCUGAUAGAGGGGAUGACAUGGAAGGUAUGUUGCGAGAUGCAUUUAAUAUGCAUAAUCAUGGUGUCCAGUCGUUCCCAGCGGACUUUGUGGCUUCUGCUGAUUGUAAUAUUGGGAGAAAUGCUUUUACCGAACUGAGAAGUAGUGUACCUCAUGAAGAGCCGAAUGAAGAAGCGGCGAAGUUCUAUACGCUACUUAAUGACAUGAACGAAGCACUGUAUGAGGGAUCAAAAUUUUCAAAAAUGUCUUUCUGUGUUCGUCUUUUUCAAUUAAAAUGUUUGGGAGGGUGGACCGGGAACUAUUUGACAAUGCUGUUAGAGUUCUUGAGAGAGAUGUUUCCCUUUACAAAAAUCCCUCAGUCAUGCAAAGAUAUGAAGAAAAUGAUAAAAGAUUUAGGCCUUGGAUACAACAAAAUCCAUAGUUGCCCAAAUGACUGCAUGUUGUAUUGGGGCGAACGGAGAAAUCAACAGUGCUGUCAUGUAUGCGGCCACUCUCGUUGGGUAAGUAAAAAUACAGACGGUGGGAACGACGAUGAAAAUGUUGCACAACCAAGUCAGAAGCCGGUCAAGAUUUUACGAUAUUUUUCGCUAAUACCAAGGCUUCAAAGGCUUUUCAUGUCGUCGAAGACAGCGGAGUCUAUAACGUGGCACCAUGACGGACGAACCGAUGAUGGGAAGAUGAGGCAUCCGGUAGAUUCUUUAGCUUAGAAAUCAUUUGACAAUAAAUAUCCAAGCUUUGCAAGCGAUCCUAGGAGUGUGAGGCUUGGGCUAGCAUCCGAUGGAUUUAAUCCUUUCAAGAUCAUGAGUACUGCGUAUAGUACUUGGCCAGUAGUUCUUGUUCCUUACAAUCUGCCUCCGUGGAUUUGCAUGAAGCAAUCUUCCCUUAUUUUAUCUAUGAUUAUCCCUGGGGAGAAAGGGCUUGGGAAUGACAUCGACGUUUAUUUACAGCUACUUAUUGAAGAGUUAAAACAAUUAUGGGCUGGUGUCGAGACAUACGAUGUGUUGAGAAAAGAGAACUUCAAUUUACGUGCAGCUUUGAUGUGGACCAUUAAUGACUUUCCUGCUUAUGCCAAUUUAUCCGGUUGGAGUACCAAGGGUCGUUACGCGUGUCCUUGUUGUGCUGCACAAACAUGUUUGCAAUGGUUGUACAAUGGGAAGAAGUUCUUUUACAUGGGGCAUCGUCGGUGGUUACCAGAAAAUCAUAGAUUUAGAUUUCAGAGCUCUGCAUUUGACGGCACUGAAGAGUUCAGAGAAGCUCCUUCCCAGACCAGUGGCUCUGAAAUCUUGUUCAUGUUGGAAGAUAUGAAUUUCAUUUAUGGGAAGAUGAACCAACCGCCAAACACGCAGAGAAACAGAAGAUCAAAUGAUGAAGCUGAUGAAAGCUCCGACGAAGAGGACGAUCCUAAUGAGGCGGACUUAUGGAAAAAAAAAGUAUUUUUUUUGAGUUGCCUUAUUGGGAGCAUAAUCUUUUACGACACAAUCUUGAUGUUAUGCACAUUGAGAAAAAUGUCUGCGAGAACAUUGUAGGUACAAUUUUAAACGUCGAUGGAAAAUCAAAAGACAAUCUUCAGAGUCGACUUGAUUUAGUCCAAAUGGGAAUUCGUCCUGAUCUUCAUCCCAAUCCACUUCCGAAUGGGAAAUAUCGGUUGCCGCCUUCUAUUUUCUCAAUGUCCAAGACGGAGAAAGAACUGUUUUGCAUGGUGUUGAAGAAUAUAAAGGUUCCGGAUGCGUAUGCAUCAAAUAUAUCUCGAUGUGUUAGUGUUAAAGAUCGAAGGUUAUAUUCGCUAAAAUCACAUGACUAUCACAUCUUGAUGCAAGAUUUAAUGCCAGUUGCUCUAUGAUGUUGUAUGUCCAAGAAGGUGACGUCUUGUAUGAUUGAACUAUCCAACAUAAUGAAAGCCAUCUGUGGCAAAGUUUUGGAUGUUCAAGAACUUCAGAAGGUACAAGAUCGAGCCGCUUUGACUUUAUGCAACAUGGAGAAAAUCUUCCCACCUUCCUUCUUCACCAUUAUGGUUCACUUGAUAAUUCAUCUCCCGCACGAAGCAAUUCUUGGCGGACCUGUUUUCUAUCGAUGGAUGUAUCCCAUAGAAAGGUGUUAAAGAAGUAUUUUUACAAUUUUUCUUCAUUCACCUCUAUGCCUUUAGUUACAACUUUUUCAAAUGUUGUAUAUUGUUGAUAGAUUCCUAUCCAAAUUAAAGUCUUACUGCCGCAACAAGCGAUAUCCAGAAGGAUCGAUUGCUGAAGGCUACUUGGCAGAGGAAUGUAUGACCUUCUGCUCAAGAUAUUUAGACGAUGUCGAAACAAGGUUGAACAGACCAAAUAGGAAUGCUGGACUCACAGACUAUAACUUAGCCGAAACUUAUCUGUUCCAAAGUUUUGGAGAACCAAUCGGCAAAGUUGAAAUUGCAGAAUUAGAUCAUUUAUCGUGGGUACAAGCACAUCGAUAUGUUCUGUUUCACCACGAAUCAUUGGAACCUUUACGGAAGUAAGUUACACAAAUUUUAAAAAUAUUUAUCGAACUAAAAAUUGUUUAUCUUCUAACAAAGAUCACAUUUUAUUUAACAUAGUGAGUACAAACAAAUAUUGAGAUCUCGAUCGCACUCCCGAAGAACACAACAUCGAGAUAUCAAUAAGUUGUUUACAUAAUCUUUUUAUUAAUGGUUGUGCCAAACGGUAUGCAGUUCGAGCUUCCGCUUACAAAUUAUAAUGCUUUCGCAUAACAUUUUUGUUUUAUCAGUUUACUUUCCAUUCAAUAGGUUUGGAGUGGGAAGAGCGUAAACGACGAAGUUAAAUGGCUCUCCCAAGGUCCAAAUCGAGUGGUUAAAAGAUAUAGUGCGUUCCUCAUCAACGGAUUCAGAUUUCAUACAAAAUAUCGCGAGAGGUUGAGGAGAACGCAAAAUUGUGGAAUAGUUGUUAAUUCUGCAAUUACAAGUUAUGCUAGCGCUAGGGACAAUAAUCCUGUCAAGGGAAAUGUGGAAUAUUUCGGACAGCUUACUGACAUUAUUGAGUUGGAUUACUACGGCAAAUGGAAAGUUGUCUUAUUUCGAGGUGAUUGGGCCGAUGUUAAUACAGCUCGUGGAAUCAAGCAAGAUCAAUUUGGUUUUACAAUGGUGAACUUUGACCGAUUGAUUCACACAGGACAACAACUGAUAGAUGAGCCGUAUGUAUUCUCAAGUCAAGUCAAACAAGUUUUUUACUCAAAAGAUCCAACUGAUGAGGGUUGGUACGUUGUACUCCGUAACAUCCCUAGAGACUUGUUUGACAUGGGUAGUGGAAGUAGAGAUAACAUCGACGACAGAUCAGAAACUUUGCCAUUUCUAGAACAAAACUUAAACGAUAAUAUCCCUAGUACUAGUGCACAAUUUCAAUGGGUUCGUCAGGAUACAGAUGAAGAUAUUUACGAAUAAUGAUGUAGUAAAAUUUUACGAAUGUUUAAUUAUAUGUAAUAUCAUCAUUUAUAUCUUGGUCUCAUUAUAUCAUAUCAACUGUUUUAUAUGUGUUGUUAUUGUUGUAAUUAGUUAUUAAGUUUUCAACUAUUUUAUGUGUAUUGCAGAUAAAAUGCCCAGAAGAAAAAUUCUAAGGGGAAGCAUUGUUCAAAAUGAUCUAAACUCGACAGAAACAAAUAGUACUGAACAACAGACAGCAAUU
rnacentral:lncRNA from 1 species